GCCGGUGUGGCAUAGUGGUUUGAGCAUUGGACUACAACUUGGGAAACCAGGGUUCGAUUCCUAGCUUGGCCA